rnacentral:rRNA from 1 species
GACAGAGGGUGCAAACGUUGCUCGGAAUUACUGGGCGUAAAGCGCGUGUAGGCGGACCACCAAGUCGGACGUGAAAGCCCUGAGCUCAACUCAGGAACUGCAUCCGAAACUGGCGGUCUGGAGUAGCGGAGAGGAAAGCAGAAUUCCUGGUGUAGAGGUGAAAUUCGUAGAUAUCAGGAGGAACACCGGUGGCGAAGGCGGCUUUCUGGACACUUACUGACGCUGAGACGCGAAAGCGUGGGGAGCAAACAGG